rnacentral:rRNA from 1 species
UACAGAGGUCCCAAGCGUUGUUCGGAUUUAUUGGGCGUAAAGGGUGCGUAGGCGGCCCUGUAAGUCAGUGGUGAAAUACUCCAGCUUAACUGGAGGGGUGCCAUUGAUACUGCAGGGCUUGAGUGGAGUCGAAGUAGGCGGAAUUGACGGUGUAGCGGUGAAAUGCUUAGAUAUCGUCAAGAACACCGAUAGUGAAGACAGCUUACUAGGCUUCUACUGACGCUGAGGCACGAAAGUGUGGGGAUCAAACAGG